AUUGAACGCUGGCGGCAGUCCUAACACCUGCAAGUCGAACGAGUGGCGGACGGGUGAGUAAUGUCUGGGAAACUGCCCGAUGGAGGGGGAUAACUACUGGAAACGGUAGCUAAUACCGCAUACCAUCAGAUUUGCCCAGAUGGGAAUAGCUAGUAGGUGGGGUAACGGCUCACCUAGGCGACGAUCCCUUGCUGGUCUGAGAGGAUGACCAGCCAAACUGGAACUGAGACACGGUCCAGACUCCUACGGGAGGCAGCAGUGGGGAAUAUUGCACAAGGGGCGCAAGCCUGAUGCAGCCAUGCCGCGUGUAUGAAGAAGGCCUUCGGGUUGUAAAGUACUUUCAGCGAGGAGGCGUUACUCGCAGAAGAAGCACCGGCUAACUCAGUGCCAGCAGCCGCGGUAAUUC
rnacentral:rRNA from 1 species